rnacentral:tRNA from 1 species
GGGGCUGUAGCUCAGCGGCAGAGUGCUUGCCUAAUAUGCAUGAAGCACUGGGUUCAAUCCUCAGCAUCA